ensembl:lncRNA
CUCAAAGCUCCCACAACACACUAACCCAUGCCUUCAUUCAGUGUCAUCAGUCCUUUGGUUUUAAAAAAACAGGGAAUUUGCCAGAAUAAAGGUGCCAUAAAACCUGUAAUGUACAUUAUACCUUGACACACAGUAUGUAAGGGAUUACUAAUAGCAGAGUUUCAGAUGAGCUGCCAAGACAAGGUAGCACUGCAGUGGAAAUGAGAUUCAGGCCAUCUGUCUUGUGCUGGCAGGAAUGAUCGAGACACCUCCUGAAUCCACUUUCCUUCCUCGCCCUCUCCCGCUGAAAUCAAUCACGGCGCACUUCUUCUCCUCCAAUCAAGACCCUCGGACAAAAAUUCUCUCUCUUGCCCCAUUUUUAUUGUUCAUUCAGCCUGUCAUGUCACAAUAGAAUAACAAGCCAUCCGUUUCCCACACAAUAUCUCGGUGUGAGCCUCUUGAUACCUUUAUCAUAAUGAGAGGAGAAAACAGCCAGCUGUGAUCAUUACACCGUAACACAAAACAGUUAGACUUCAGUCUGUUUUUUUUUUCUCCAGCACUAUGAUGCCACGGUGUGUCCAUUUAUCAUUUUCCCAGCUUCCUUUUCUUUGUUAGACAAUGCUGCACUUGUAAUAUGCUUGUGCUUGUAAUAUAGCAGGUGUUGACACCCUCGGCCCCUGAAAUCUAAUCUACGAAUCAAAAAUGGUUUUCAGUAAACAGC